UACAUUAACUAUAAAACCAAUGCCAUGUUGUUGUUUUAUCUUGCUAUUCAUGUUUUGGUGUAAAUUAGUGACCAUAUUGCAUGUAUUCUACACAUUAGACUUGUAUAUGUAUUAAGUACAUUAUCUGAACUAAGGAUCUCGAAUGUCAAAAAGCAGGGGUCCCUAAAGAAGCCAAGCCCUCCUUUCCAGGCCCUAAAUACCUUGCUACGCCACUCGUCUUACUUAGUUGAGUAGUAUUUGAAAUGUAGUGAAUACAAGUCUGUUAGUUAAAAUAUAGUCACUAGAGUAAUGAAAAUAGUAAAAGUUUGUAAAUUCACCUAGCUCUUAGUGUGUUGAACAGUUGGGAACUUGGGACACCAUACAAGAUCUGUUGACAGUCGUUCUCCAAUCCUCUCCGUCUUUUGCAUUGGAUAGAAUUUCAUUCAAUCGAAGGCCUGUCCAUUAGUUUAUGUUGUCUUCCCAUCGCUUUCUCU